CAGCAGGACCAUAUGUGUCUGCACAGAUAGCAAAAGCCAGAGACUGACAUAAUUUAGCCAAAUAAACAACUUCACAUACAAGAAAUGACAUGUGGCAGAAGAGAUCCGGGAAAGGACACAGUUUAAGCCUCCUAAAUUUAGAGGCUAUUUGCUUCAAAUAAGAGAGCAGAGACAAGGGGCAACCCAAUAGCCACAGAUUCCUCUGCAACACCAAUUUCUGUUAGGGAGAUGUCAAAGUCAAGAAGGAGAAACCAUACCCAAAGCAGAGGAUAUAGACUUCUUCAAAACUGAUGCAUCUAAAUUAAGGAUUUUUAUAUGUGUGAAAGGUCUUGGAUAAAUAUUUGGGUUGGUCCCAUGCCAAUACAUAUUCCAGGAGCUGCUGAGAAGCUGCGAUUCCUGCAAACUUAAAGACAGUCUGAUCCCGGUCCUGGAAAAGGCAAGGCCGCCUGGCCACCAACAACAGCCAGGUGUUGGACCAGGCCAAUAAAAGCCCUCUAUCUCCAUUCCACCGAGGUGGAGACAAGACCAGGUAGAAGAGAAGGCAGGAAGCAGUGAUCAACUGGAAAACUACCAUGAACAAAAAUCCAAGCACUACCACAAAAACAUGAAAACCCAGGGAAAGAAAAUUCUAUGAAAAUACUGUAAUAGGUUACCUUUAUGUGAAUGACUCUUCAUGCUCGCCUAGACUGAGUCACUCUGUGAAGUGCCUCGCGGUCCAUCUGGCUGCCAACUCCUGGCUAAACUUGAACAUCUUGUGACUGAAAUGAAUGCAUCAAAGGCUAAGGCACUGCAAGUUUGGACCUAACACAUAAACUGGACCCCUUAAAGCUUCACUUGCGCUGAAACUUAAGGCUAACAAUGUCUAAGCAUCCCAAGCAGUACAUGAACAACAGUCACCAUUUAAGUAACACCAGAAAAACUGGAAUCAAUUUACAGUAAGUUUCCAAAACCAGCAUCUAACAGCCUUAAAGCCUCUAAGGGACACAAGAAUGCCUACUUCCAGGUAGAGCUAUGCUGUGGCUGUGUUGAAAGGCAGGGGAAGAAUGGAAAAUGCACUCACAUCAGCCAACCACUGCCACUGUAUUUCUCUCUAAAGAAAGCAAAUCACUGAAUUAUCAACUGUAAAUGACUUCUGGGUCACAGAAGGCAGUGGAAGGGUUGAAAUCUUGAACUACAGCUGCUGACGCCUAGUGUCUUUAUCUCCCUGCUCCCUAUGGUUUCUCAAAGGAUGAAUGACCUGCCUGCAAUGAAUUAUGCCUGAUCUUCCAGACAGGGUAUACACUAAGUCAUUAAGUCAUCUAAGAGUAUAACCCCCCCAAGGGAAUUACCAAAUGAAUGUGAAAUCCUGUCCUGCUCUUAGCCCUUGUGACAGACUUCUCCAUGCUUCUGAUGCAGGCAUCUUUCAGGAGCAAGAAUGGGGCUUGAAUUGGUGUGGCUAAUUGUUUUCUGAUAUUCACAUUUUCUGCUUCUAAGGCCGCAAAGUUAGAAUAGUAAUAACAGUCAUUUCCUUCAGAGGAAGGGAAAACACAACCCCUCUCUGACCACCAAGAUUUCUAAACCCCAAUGUACCAGCUAAGACAAGCAGUUAGCAUGAGACUAGCAGACAGCUUACGGCUAUCAUAUUUGUGUUGGACAUAAUGGGUUUUGUCCAGAUGAAAGGGUAUGCUUCUUCUGAAGAGCAGCACAUUUUUUUAAUUAAAAGAAAUUGAUUUAGUGACAGCAUUUACAAUUGGGUAUCUGACAAGCCCACUGACCUUCACACAAAUAUACAAAUGACUGAAGCUUGAUGCGUUCAGAGAAACGAAUUCUCGCUUGAAACCACAAACACUGAAAUCACUGACUGCUGCAGAACCCAAGGAACCCCCUCUAAAGCAGAGCGCAUCAAAGACGACUUAGGGUAAAGACUGGUCUGCACAGUGGACCUUUCCAUAUAACACUUCAUGAAGUCAGGGGGAUAAAUAACAUGUUUAAAUAGAGACAAAAAAGCAUGUCUGACAAAGGCUCACCCAUACUUUAUUACAGCCUGGCAAAGCUUUAGCUCACCACUUGCCUGAGAUGCUGUAUUUACAGUCGCUACUCCCAUUGCUCCUUGUACUGAGUAAGUUGUGCAGUAGUUACAUAUCUUCUUUCAAGUGUUCUCAGUGCCCACACAAAAGAAAGGGUGCUCAGCAGCACCCUUAAUAAGAAGAGACAUACUAGCACCUCCAGACAGCUCUAAACAGUUUGGCACCCAGCCUCUAAAGCUGUUUUCAAGGGGCUGUUGCUCAGGUUUGUUUUUAGUUUCCCAUUAUCUGCAGCCAGGGUAAUGAACACCCUAGGAGGUGUUUCCUUGGAAGUGGUGGUGUGACAGCCUCUGUGUUCCAUCCUGGCCAAACAGCAACCAAAUCUGAGUUUUACUGGGAAGGAAAAUAAGCAGGAUUCUCCGUGAAAGAACAAACCCGUCGGAAUGGAAAUCUGCACCUUUGCAAAAGGGUAACAACAACCUCUAACCUUCUGCCUGGUGAUGCCUACAAAAUACAUGAAUGAAUGAUGCUCAGCACCAUUUCAGCAUCCCCUUCUAAAUUUAAAAUUAUAGAUUAAAAAUAAUAAUAAUUUUUUAAAAGCUCAGUUUUCUUUAUUUACAAGGUUUACCGAAUGAAAACCUCCCAGUCCGGUCAACCUGAUAGGUUUCUCUGAAUGUUACCAGAUAAAAAAUAAAACCUAAUCCUUGCUUGAAUGUUCCUGGGACAGGGCCAGGAUAUUUAUAUCUUCCCAGGGCAAAAUUCAAACUAGGCCUUGUGCUGUGCCAAGAAAAGUCCUGCUAGGACAAGGAAAGAGGAAAUUGCUCCAGUUUCCAUGUGGACAUCAGAAAACUUUGUCUGGAAAAUAGAAGAUGCCACACAGAUGGUCAGAGAGCAACCAGACUUCCUUUAGAAAGCUACACACAACACUAUUCUCAAAACUUUUUUUUUUUGGAGGAUGGCUCAGGCUUGUUGUUCUUCUGUGUGUGUUUUGGUUUACUUUUUUUUUUUUAAUCAGGACCUUCUACAUGAAUAAAAAGCAAUCUAAGUGAUCUAAGUUUCUUCUUCAAUCAGUAUGUCAUGCCCAGAGACAUACUGGGCACCUCCACAAGUGUGAGUUUAAUCUUAUCUCCCUAUCCAUACUGGUUUAUAUAAGGACUUAGGGGUUUUUUUCUCUUAUGUAAUACCUAUUUUUUCACACUAUACCUCCAGCCACUACCAUAAACAAGGAAUUCAACUGCAUGAUGGUGAAAAGUUUUCACUAACAGACCAGCUUCUAAGCCUGCAAGCAGUCUGCUAAAGGAAAAAUAAAAGCAACAGAUUUUCAGUUUUAGUGGACAAGGACAACAAGGGCUCCCUUGUUAGCUUCUAUUUAUGGUCCCACAGCAGAUGACCUGAAUCUCCUCCAUACUCAUCCCCCUCUACAGAGCCUAUAGCUUAGAUUAUUCACUUCUUAAUGAAAACACCACCUGCCAGAUGGACAAGAGAAUAAUUACAUUACACUUACAUUAUUAAAAUACAUACGAGUCCUGUUUGCUGUGCACAGAGCAGGGCUAUACAUCUGGAUCUGUGUACAGUAGAAAGACUUCUAGAAAUGGGAUUUUCCUCACUGUAUUUUUUGGUAAUAAAGAUCAGCAUCUGAUUCUUGGA